AACAGGCAGAGCUCGCCCUGCAGGAGG
rnacentral:piRNA from 1 species